rnacentral:rRNA from 1 species
AUGGAGGCGCCUCCUUCCCCGCGGCGGCUGGUGGCGGUGGUGCUGGCGGCGGUGGCGCUGCUCGUCUCCUCCCCUUGCAGCGCGCUCCUCUCCGCCAAGGGCGUCAACAUUGAAGUGCAAGCGCUGAUUGGGAUCAAGAACCAGCUCAAGGACCCCCACGGCGUGCUCAAGAACUGGGACCAGUACUCCGUCGACCCCUGCAGCUUCACCAUGAUCACCUGCUCGUCCGACAACUUCGUCACCGGCCUGGAGGCUCCAAGCCAGAAUCUCUCCGGCCUGCUCGCCCCAAGCAUAGGAAACCUGACCAGCCUGGAGACUAUUCUUCUGCAGAACAACAUCAUAAGCGGGCCAAUCCCAGCCGAGAUUGGCAACCUGGCAAGUCUCAAGACACUUGACCUCUCUGGCAACAAUUUCUAUGGUGAAAUCCCACCAUCCGUGGGCCACCUUGAGAGCCUCCAGUACCUGAGGCUCAACAACAAUACACUGUCUGGUCCAUUCCCUACCGCAUCGACUAAUCUGUCGCACCUUGUUUUCCUAGAUUUGUCAUACAAUAACCUAAGUGGCCCGAUACCAGGAUCUUUGGCAAGAACAUACAACAUAGUUGGAAAUCCUCUCAUAUGCGCUGCAAAUACGGAGAAAGAUUGUUACGGGACUGCGCCGAUGCCAAUGACCUACAACCUUUCACAAGGCACUCCGCCAACGAAAGCUAAAAGCCACAAGUUUGCAGUUGCAUUUGGUGCUGUAACUGGUUGCAUGGGCUUCCUCUUUCUUGCUGCCGGAUUCUUGUUCUGGUGGAGACAGCGUCGGAACCGGCAGAUACUUUUCGAUGACGAAGAUCAACACAUGGAUAACGUUAGCCUUGGAAAUGUGAGGAGGUUCCAGUUCAGGGAGCUGCAGGUUGCAACAGAAAAAUUCAGCAGCAAGAACAUACUCGGAAAAGGCGGCUUCGGACACGUUUACAGGGGGCAGCUUCCCGAUGGGACUCUUGUGGCUGUCAAACGACUCAAGGACGGUAAUGCUGCGGGUGGUGAGUCACAGUUCAAGACUGAAGUUGAAAUGAUCAGCUUGGCAGUGCACCGGAACCUCCUUAGGAUUCUUGGCUUCUGUAUGACUGCCACAGAGAGGUUACUAGUCUAUCCAUACAUGUCGAAUGGAAGUGUCGCUUCGCGCCUGAAAGGAAAGCCGCCUUUGGACUGGAUCACUAGGAAGAGGAUAGCCCUUGGAGCAGCAAGAGGUCUACUUUACCUUCAUGAGCAGUGUGACCCGAAGAUCAUCCACAGAGAUGUCAAGGCGGCCAACGUGUUGCUGGAUGAUUGCUGUGAGGCCAUCGUCGGUGAUUUCGGACUUGCAAAGCUCCUUGAUCACCAGGAUUCACACGUCACCACUGCAGUGCGGGGCACCGUUGGGCAUAUCGCGCCUGAGUACCUCUCCACUGGGCAGUCAUCCGAGAAAACAGACGUCUUCGGGUUUGGCAUCCUGCUGCUGGAGCUGAUCACCGGCCAGACAGCACUGGAGUUCGGAAAGGCAUCAAAUCAGAAGGGAGCCAUGCUGGACUGGGUGAAGAAGAUGCACCAGGAGAAGAAACUUGAUGUGCUGGUUGACAAGGGCCUGCGGAGCAGCUACGACCGGAUCGAGCUCGAGGAGAUGGUGCAGGUGGCGCUCCUUUGCACACAGUACCUCCCAGGCCACCGGCCGAGGAUGUCAGAGGUGGUUCGCAUGCUGGAAGGCGACGGGCUCGCCGAACGGUGGCAAGCGUCGCAGCGGGCCGACUCACACAAGUUCACAGUGCCUGAGUUCACCUUCAGCCGCUGCUACUCUGACCUGACGGAUGACUCAUCGUUGCUGGUGCAGGCCGUCGAGCUCUCUGGGCCAAGAUGA